AGGAAAUGGAGUAAAAGCGACGAGACGAAGCCUUUGAAUAUACCAUUGACAGAUUGGCUUGCUUGCGUGACGUCAGAAUCCGGCUGUUCCGGCGAAGUUGAUCGUUCUUUUUGUGAACCAAGUGGCUUAGAGACAAGGCAGUAAAAGCAAUGGUGCUUUUUCCAUCUCUUUUUGAUGGAUUAGCUAGGACAGUAUCCAUCAAGAAAGGAAGGAACUCCCAGAAGGAUGUUGGAAAGGAAGCUGCAGAAGCUUUGGCAAAGGAUGCAAGGAAGAACGAGUUGAUGUUGAGUUCCUCUGGCAUUGUUAAGUCCAACAAGUCAAAUAAUUUUGCCUCUGUCUGCUCCAAGAGAGGGCAGAAAGGAAUUAAUCAAGAUUGCUUGAUUGUGUGGGAGG
rnacentral:misc_RNA from 1 species